rnacentral:misc_RNA from 1 species
GAUGAAGAACGUAGCGAAAUGCGAUAAGUAGUGUGAAUUGCAGAAUUCAGUGAAUCAUCGAAUCUUUGAACGCACAUUGCGCCUUCUAGUAUUCUGGGAGGCAUGCCUGUUUGAGCGUCAUUAAACCUCUCUCAAGUAUGAUUACUUGGAUGUGAAGGAAGAGUACCUUAAACUUAAGGAGUGUUCUCCUUUGAAAUUGAUUAGCAGAUGGUAAUGUUAUUAAAUCCCUGAUGUUGUAAGAAAUAACAGUGGUUUUGUAGACUAUUAUCUAGCUGUAAAUUAUAAUUUUUAUUAUGGUUGACCUCAAAUCAGGUAAGGAUACCCGCUGAACUUAAGCAUAUCAAUAAGCGGAGGA